UACGUAGGGUGCGAGCGUUAAUCGGAAUUACUGGGCGUAAAGCGUGCGCAGGCGGUGAUGUGAGACAGAUGUGAAAUCCCCGGGCUCAACCUGGGAACUGCAUUUGUGACUGCAUCGCUGGAGUGCGGCAGAGGGGGAUGGAAUUCCGCGUGUAGCAGUGAAAUGCGUAGAUAUGCGGAGGAACACCGAUGGCGAAGGCAAUCCCCUGGGCCUGCACUGACGCUCAUGCACGAAAGCGUGGGGAGCAAACAGG
rnacentral:rRNA from 1 species